UACGUAGGUGGCAAGCGUUGUCCGGAAUUAUUGGGCGUAAAGCGCGCGCAGGCGGUUCUUUAAGUCUGAUGUGAAAGCCCCCGGCUCAACCGGGGAGGGUCAUUGGAAACUGGGGAACUUGAGUACUGAAGAGGAAAGCGGAAUUCCACGUGUAGCGGUGAAAUGCGUAGAGAUGUGGAGGAACACCAGUGGCGAAGGCGGCUUUCUGGUCAGUAACUGACGCUGAGGCGCGAAAGCGUGGGGAGCAAACAGG
rnacentral:rRNA from 1 species